rnacentral:lncRNA from 1 species
UGAUUCCCUUAUGGAUUGCUGAAAAUUUUGUAGAAUGGAGAGAAGGAAUGAGUAUUGAAGAUGUAGCCUGGGGUUAUCUCGGUGAACUCAUCAGAAGAAGCCUAAUUCAAGUGACUCGAGUGUUUUAUGAAGGAUCACCCGUCACGUGUCAAAUCCAUGACCUAUUGAGAGAAGUUAUUCUCAUCAAGUCAAGGGAACAAAACAUGGUGACAAUUACUACUGGACAACCAAUGACGUGGCCAUCUGAGAAGGUACGCCGUCUAGUAGUCCAUAGUAGUAGUAACAGUAGCAACAUCCAACAUCACCAACAAAGACAAUUUUAUUCCUUUGAACACCUUCGAUCAUUCAUCACAGUUAGGUCCACCAACCCAUUACUAUCCAAAAUUUUCUUAUCUGAAGUUCUAAGGAGUAGCAAGUUGCUAAAGGUUUUGGAAUUGGUAGGUCAAGAGAUAGAGGAAACACCAAAUGAGAUUUUCAACUUGUUGCAUCUCACAUACCUGAGCCUAUUUGGUACAAAAGUGGCAAGAGUCCCAAGAACCAUUGGAAAGCUUCAACAUUUGGAAUAUCUGAAUUUGGGGAACACUGGAGUUAGGGAAUUACCCGUGGAAAUCCUAAAGCUGCAAAAGCUUCGGCAUCUCAUAGUAUUCCAACGAGUUGAUCCCUCAGAUAGUGAUUAUGGAUUUCAUGGGUUUAAAGGUCCGUCAAAGUUGGGAGGGCUUCUCGCUUUACAAAGGUUAGACACCAUAGAUGCAAGCAGUGGGUCUGUAAUAGUUAAAGAGAUAGGAAAAUUGACCCAAUUAAGAGAGUUAUAUAUUACACAGUUGAGAAGAGAAGAUGGAAAGGAGCUCUGCUCCUCCCUUGUCAACCUCACCAGCCUUCGGGAAUUAAGCAUUGAAUCAAUUGGAAAAGGUGAUGAUUCUGAGAUAAUAGAUCUAAAUGAUCAUCAACAUUCUCUUUCUUCUUCUUCUUCUUGUUCGUUUCUUCAAUCUCUUCGUAUGCUAAUUAUGUGUGGCCGCUUAGAAACGAUGCCAGUGUGGAUAACUCAUCUUCAAAACUUGGUAAAAAUAUUUAUGAACUGGAGCGGGUUAAGGGCUGAGGAAGAUCCACUUGAAUCCCUCCAACAUUUGCCCAAUUUGGGUGAAAUUGGUUUCUGUGGAUCUUACCAGGGAGAAGGGUUGUGUUUCAAGGCUGGAGGGUUCCUAAAGAUGAAACAGUUGUGGCUAAGGAGAAUGGAAGGAUUAAGAAGGAUAACAAUCGAGGAGGGUGCAUGCCCUUAUCUCCAAAGACUAAUUCUGAAACAGCUUCCAUUACUAGAGGACUUACCUUGCGGUAUUCAGCACUUGAGCCAUCUUCAACGGCUGUCUUUGUAUGAGAUGAGUUCUCGAAUGAUGGAAAAGGUCGAGAAUCAGAAGGAAGACAGUGAAGAUUACAGAAGAAUGGCACACAUUCCUGAAAUUGUCAUUGGUUUCUAUGCCAAUGAUGGGAAAUGGAGAAUCCGCCGGCUAUGGGGGAAGAAGAAGAAAACAUUCCUUGCCUAGCACUAGCAGCAUCCUGUGGCUUUCCUUUCUCAUUGUUUGCUUUCCCUCCCUGUUGUUGACGAUCCUGCUCUCUCUUGUUCUUCUAUUUUUCUGAGAAGUUUCUGAUGUUUUCUAUCUUCUCCACUACGCGUAGUAUGGUGCAUUGCAUCAUCAUCUUGUUCAUAUGCUGCUUUUUUUUAAUGUAUUUUUUUAACUGUUUUUCUUGAAUUUUAACUUCCCCAAAUAAGCGCUUGUGAGAUCAUGAGAUUGCAAUGGCUAUAGCAUUGUGCGAAAUUUGAGAAUGACAAUCUUCUUUUUACUCUUCAAUUUUAGAUAACAAAGGGGUCUGAGACUUUUACUCUUCUUUUUACUCUUCAAUCUUCUUUUUACUCUUCUUUUUACUCCUCAACUUCUAGCUGCAUAUGUAAGAGAAAAAAAAUACUAAACAAAUAAAGGGUGACUCACCAAAGAGUUGAAGGCCAAAAUGCAAAUCCAUCCAUCAUACUACACGAAUAACUUGCCACGAAAUCAUGGUGUUUAUUUCUCAAUCCAAAAAUAUGUAGCUUUCUAGAUCCAUUUUUCCAAACCAGAUAGAGAAAAAUAAAAAAUGGAUCAGAUUUUCCUUGAAAAUCUAAGGCCUUGCUUGGAUUGCUGUUUUCCGUAGAAAAAUUUCAUCAUUUUCCGUGAACACAUUUCCCUAUUACCUUUUUUUCUCACAUACAUCAAAUCGCUACAGUAUUUUUUCCAUGAAAAAUGACGGAAAAUGCAAUCCAAACGGGACCUAAAUACUCUAUAUGAUGAUCAAAUAGCUAAAUAUCCUUCUAUUUCUGUCCUAAAGUGUGAUACUAGUAACAAAAAAUUAAAUGGCAUUCUCGUCAUUUUGCCCUCAACGAAAGCUAUCCUCUUUCUCUGGAAUGCCUAGAACCCCUGCACCCUUUCUUUCUCUGGAAGCUCUAACUAGUUCAUUUUGUAAGCAACAUAACUGAUUCACCACCAAUGGGUAUUUUUUCAUGGUUCAAGGGAACCAAAAACGAUACCAACUCCAAACCGGCGACCCAAAAAUCCGAACCGGUGAAAACCCAAUCCGCUUCUGAAGUUCCCGGCAUGAACGGAGCAGUGGAGGUCCGGCGGCCUGGCCCACCACCAGCUGAUAUCACCGUUUUCGAAUUCGGUUCCAUUGCCGCUUCUGCCGAUAAGGUCACCCUCGCCGGCUUCUGCCCUGUUUCUGACGAGCUCGAACCUUGCCGCUGGGAGAUUCUGCCGGCUCAAGGCUCCGACGCCCCUCAAUUUCGCGUAGUCUUUUGACGGAAAAAUAGUUGGCGAAAAAGAAAGGGAGAAUUUUCAGCUUAGCUUUUGAGGAAAUGGUGAGGAGGAGUAAAAUCCCAAUCCUGAGUAGAGUUUCUUCAGUUCAUAUGGGGUUUUUUCUAUAUUAAAAAAACAAAAAAGCUUGUAUCUUUUUUCCUCUUUCAUUUUUGAAGUUUCUCUGUAAUUUAGCUCUGUUUGGCACUUUGAUUAGAAUAUGAUAAAGACCUUUACUGCACUCGUUUUUCCCUUUUUUUUGGUUGGGUCCAAAUUUGGGUACUAUUGGCUUGAAAACAUGAGGAGGAAGAGGAAAGAAGUAAUUUGUUGUGAUAGAUUGGUUAUUGCGUUGUUGGAUGAUAGAUGCACAUUGUCUUCUGUUUCCUGCAAUUUGCUGUAGAAUUAUUAUGGAAAAGGGCGCCCUUGAAGCCCUAAUCAAUAAAGGGUUCAGGUUUUUAGGCCAAAUGUGAAGGGCAUUUGGACUGACGUUUGUACAAAAUGUACCAGUAUGUGUACACGAAAAUACAUUUCACGCGUGAAGGCCUUCUAUAGAUUGCCGAACAUUGUGCUUUCUUUAUCAAAUAAGGUUCCAAGCAUGCCCUGUUCUUGAAAUUUUCCCUGUUAUUAACUGGACUUGAUAGAGUGGAGAAGCUGUAGAUUUGUUGGAGUCCUUUUAUCUUGUUUUACAAGGUAAGAACUCGGCUUUUCUUUGCUUAAGAGUGUUUCAAGUAGUUUAGAUCUGCUCUGUGUUUGUGUCUGUGAUUGCACUGGCAGGGUUGCGAGGGGGGUGGAGGAUGGGGAGUGUAUGUGUUCGUGUAUUGUGUAUGUAACUAUAUAACUAUGUAUAUGUCAAUAAGGAUGAGCUUGUAUGAAUUGGUGUACCAUGUAGAGCAUUUAUCAGGUCAUGAUGAAAUAUAUGUGGGCAAAGAAAGCUUUGAGCCUAAACUCUUCAUGCUUUUUAAGCUGCUUUUACAUUUGCUUGGUUUGUUUGUCAAAUAAAAUUGAAGCAAUUGCAUUCAUUUUUUACGUUUGACUCUAUGAUUUGGAUUCUAUAUUGUGAGGGAAGGGAGACUUUAGAAGCUUUUGGUUAAUGGUAAGUACCAAGUAGAAGUUUUCAAGGACUGAUUUGAAAAGUAGAAUGGAUGACAACAAUACAUGUUUGCCAGCUAUUAAGGAAAAAAAAAAAGGCAUAGAGGGUGUGUAGUUGCCUGUUUCUUUGGAAAAUUCAGCUAUGGAACAACGCAUAGAGGGCGUGAUAAUUACAACAUUAAGUUUUCAGAUUUUAUUUGGUUUGUCAAUCAUGUUUUGCCCCCUUCUUCUUCUUCUUCUUCUUCUUUCUUUGGCAAACUUAUGAUUGCAAGUGUUUAUUGGAUUGCUUAAUGACGAAUGAACCAUUGUUAUCACAGAAAAGAACUACAAGGGCAAUAUUGCUAGGUUUCACCAUAUGGUGGAAUGUGAUGAAAAGUAUGUACUUUCCCCAAACACUUUUUUUAAUGAUAGCGGGAAUGCAGCUGUUUUACUUUUUGUGGUUAAAGUGGAUUAAAUGGCAUUUGCGCCUACAAAUUCAUAGUUCAAAUUUGCUGCAACUGAUUGUAGAUACUUUAAAACAUUAUCGUGACAAAAAGUGUAGGCUCAUGAAGAUAUGCAGUGUUUGCUAUCUUCUUGGUGUCAUUGUAGUUACAUGAUGGUUCAUGAAGAUACGUAUUCUCAAUAUUCAGCUAAACUUGGUUGAAACAGAAAAAAGAAAUAGGAUAAAGAGGACGCAGUUCAAUCCUUAUUUGUUAAAGGAUCUUUUUGCUUGUAAUGUUCUUGGUGGAACCAAAACAUUGAAAGUUUUCCAUGCUUUGUCUUGGCUCCCAAUGAACACUGAUGUGUUUGUAAUACAACAUUCUGGUCAACUUCUGUUCCAUGUUUUACAAAUUGCCUGCCUUCAGGAGUAUCUUUGAUAUUAUGGCUUGUUCCUUCAGAAAUUCUGCAACCUUGUACAUUUGACACUGACAGCAAGUGUGGCAUCUGAUGCGGUAUUAUUACUGCAAGCAGACAAUGCAAUCGUAUAAUCGUCAGACACUAACGAAAGUUGUUGUACCAUUAUGAGAAGGCAUCGAUGUAUCAAAAUUAAUUAAUUCUGAACUACAAAGGGCCUCUUGGAUAGUUUGCAGAGCAGUGCAGAUACUCAUCUUUUGAGACAACAUGCUUAACUGUUAAUCUGGUUUCCACAUUAAAUAUGCCCAAAAGAGCAAGUUGCACGAAACUAGAUUCCUAUUUUAUCAAAAUGGCAGGAAAAUUCCAAGAUAUCACAGUCAUAUGAAGAAGGCAAUUAUCAAGAAUAGGUAAUCGACAUCGUGCCAUAUAUCCCACAUUCUAGUACCUGUUAGCAUCGGCCACCAAUUGUUUUACAAAGCGAUAAUAAGAAGCAAUGACCAUGAAAUAAAGGCCACAAGGCAUCUUGCAACUUCCUUAUCAUAGAACACGUAAUAGAUAUAAUUAUAUAACUAACGCUGCAAUCAAUACUAAACUUACCAAUAUCUGCAAUACAAUCCCCCCUGACUUUGUGAUAUUAAUUGGUUUUUGAUUGAGUUAAAAAAGAAACUUAUAAUUUUCCCCAUGCAGUUGAAAAAGAUAGCUGCAAAGAUGAUAUAAAUGAGACAUUGAAUUAAUUGACAAAGUGGAGGGCAUAGAAAUAAGCCACGUCAUGAUUGAGUGGUACAGCUAUUCCAACAAAUUUGUAAUCCUUAAAUGUAAAGAAAAUUGAUUAUUUUUAAUUUACUCCUUACCAUUUUCUGCAAUUCCUUUUUUUUUUUUUUUUUUGCUAAAUUUGCACGCUGUUCAUUGACCUCUUAAAUUAAUACAGUUCACAUUUCUUUGAUAUUACAAAUACUAAUUGGUCAGCAGAAAUUAGUUCCAUAGAGUAAGGUUUUUUAUUUCUUCGUCAAUGAAAUCAAUAAUGUCCUUCCCCUCGUAAAGAACCCACAGUCUUUUUUUUUUAUUAUUAUUUGUCAUCAUUUACGUCUACACCUACUCUUAGUUCUAAUCUAACCUAUACAAGGGGAGGUAACCCAACAGGGUCACAGGGAACCGAUGGGGACUAAAUCACCAUCGGACCAUACGAGUGCAAAGCACCCACAUGAAUCUUAAGCACAGCCACAUUAGGUGGCCACCUAUGAUAGAAGGCAAAGGUUGAACUCUUAACCUCCCACCCCACACUAAAAGUGAUGGUCAAUUCCACUAAAGCGAGCUGUUUAAAAAACCCACAAUCGAACGAUGCUCCUUUUUAUCUUUAUCCGACCCACGGUUGAAAGAAGGUCCCGAAGACAUGUGCACAGUCUUCUUAAUAGCUUCCAUGAUUUUAUAUUGUGGGAGGUAAGGCAGCUUCGUCCCACCCCCUCCCCUCUCCCCGUCCCCGUUUCCAUCCUGCUUUCCUGACGGGCUAAUAAAAAUUUAUUAUAUAAUUUUAUUAUAAUUAAAUUUUAAUAAAUAAUUAAGUAUUAAAAUAUCAAUACAUUACUAAAUUAUUAUUCAUUAUAAUUUUACAAUUGAAACUUAUAAAAAUAAUCAAACAAAAAUUAGUGAAUACAAUCCAAUAUGAUGAAAUAAAUACAAUUAAAGUAGUUAAAUUUUUACUUUUGAUAGAAAUACAAUCACUAAUUCAUUAUUUUACUUGUGCUUUUUUUUGAGUAAGUAUAAUUAGAGAUUUAGUAUAAAUGUAUUAGUAAAUUUAAUAUAACUAAUUAAUAAUUUCUAUUAGUAUAUAUAUUAGUAAUAUAACUGAUAAUUAUAUUAUAUAAUACAUAUAACUAAUAAUAUCAUUAUCAUAAGUUUAUAACUAAUUAAAUUAAAUAUUUUAUAUAUAAUUAUAUGCACAUAUAUAUUUAUUUUUUUUAAACGGAUUCCGGGGCGGGGUAGCCUCCUGCGGGCCAUCCUGUUGCCAUCCUUAGUCUUGAGUUGCUUUUUCUGUUCCACUCCGAAGAAAUUCACUUUCCUCUGCAUCACAUGUUCCUGGAAAACUCAUAGCUGGCUUCCAGUUGAUUCGGAACUGUCAAUUUUCUUUUGGGGUGGGGUUUUCUUCUCAUUCUCUUGUGCUCUUUCCACUUUAACUACUCAAACACGCGUUCAAGUCUAUACUGUAAAUUUCGUCUACACCGCGUUGGACUGGUUUGUUCCUUGAUAUUCCAUCCGUUUUUAUUACAAACUAGUUGGUCCAAAGGGUCAAAAGAAAAAAAAAAAAAGCAGAAAUUAGUUCCAUAGAAGGAGGAGCUUAUAUAUGUCAUAAUGUCAGCAGAAGGGGCAAAACAUUUUGCAGCAGUUUUAUUUCUUCGUCAAAGAAAUCAAUAAUGUCCAGUCCAACCGCGUUUUAACCUGGAAUUUCUACUUGUAAAGAAGGACCACAGUUGAACGGUGCUCCUUUGUUAUUAUCCGACCAAAGGACCCACAGUUGAAAGAAGCUCCUGAAGACAUGUGCAAACAGAAAUGAGUCUUCUUAAUAGCUUCCAUGAUUUUGUAUUGUGGCAGGUAAGGCAGCUUCGUCUUUCACAAUCAGAUGUUUCUUGCUUUAGUUUCUUCUAAUUGGUUAAUUCUUUCUUUUUCUGUUUAACGCGGCUUUUCUUUUUGAUAAAUACUGGACCGAAGAACAUCAGCUUAUUAAUCUAUAACUUCCUCUUCCUUCUUCCUUUCAAGAUAUUACAACUGGACUGUCCAAUCCUAUAAACCAGAAGCCGCCUUCCCCUACAUUCUGUUUUGUGUCAGAAAUGGCAGAAACUGUUGUCUCUUUUGUGUCAGAUCAUCUCGCAACCUUACUCCGAGAGGAGGGAAGCCUAUUGGGAGGGCUUCGACAGGAGGUCCAACUCAUCAGGGAUGAGUUGGGGCAUAUGAAAGCUUUCCUCAAAGUGGCUGAAGCAAAAGAAGAAGAAGAUCCCAGGCUCCAAGAAUGGAUCAAGCAAGUGCGCGAAGCUGCUUAUGACAUUGAAGAUGUUCUCGAUGAAUUUGUACUUCGCUUUGCUGGCUACCGACAUCAUGGAUUCUGUGGCUCUCUGCAGAGAAUUCUCAAAGCCAUUAAGAGCUUGCGAGCUCGUCAUCAGGUUGCCAGUGAAAUUCAAAGCAUAAAGUCCAGGAUCAAAAAUAUUUCAGAAGGACGUCAGAGAUACCAAGUUGAAUUUGGGAUCAAUGACCGUGUCACUGGAUCUUCAACCAUGAACGACUCAUGGCGCUAUAGCAGAGAUGACGCACUUCUAGUGGAGGAAGCAAAAUUGGUUGGCAUUGACCAGCCCAAACAACAUCUGAUUUCAAAGCUUCUCGAGGGGCACGAUCACCAACUCAAAGUUGUUUCAGUGGUUGGAAUGGGAGGACUCGGCAAAACUACCCUAGUCAAAAAGGUCCAUGAAGAUCCAGAUGUUAGAAAGAAUUUCCCAGUUCGUGCCUGGGUAACCGUCUCUCAAACAUGCGACUUUCCAAAGCUCCUGAGAGACUUGAUUUGGCAGUUGCACAAGGAAUUGAACAAAUCAGUCCCACAAUUCAUCGAAUCUAUAUCUACCGCUGAGCUGAAAGAAUUUGUCAAAGAUUUUCUUCAACAAGUUGGAAGGUAUGCAAUUGUCUUCGAUGACGUGUGGGACGUGGAAUUUUGGAAUGAAAUCAAAUUUGCACUGCCUGAGGGUAACUACGGCAAUCGUGUAAUGCUGACAACACGAAAAGCCGAUGUAGCCUUUGCCUCUUGCACAGAAUCUCAGGAUUUUGUCUACAAAAUGGAGCCACUAUCAAUUGAAGAUUCGUGGACCCUAUUUUGUAACAAGAUCUUUAAAGGAAAUCGUUGCCCCACCCACCUGAUGGAUGUUGCAAAAGCUGUAUUGGAUAAAUGUGACGGUUUGCCUUUGGCGAUUGUUACGAUUGGUGGGCUCUUGGCUUCGAAGGACGCGAGCAGAAUAGAUGAAUGGGAGAAGAUUCAACAGAGUCUUGGGGGUGAAUUCACCGGUAAGCUAGAGAGAGUUAAAAGGAUACUUUCUCUGAGUUACAAUGAUCUGCCUUCGCACCUCAAACCCUGUCUGUUGUAUUUAACCAUUUAUCCGGAGGAUUAUCCAAUAAACUGCCAUAUGCUGAUUCAAUUAUGGAUUGCUGAAAGAUUUGUAGAAUGGAGAGAAGGAAUGAGUAUUGAAGAUGUAGCCUGGGGUUAUCUCAGAGAACUCAUCAGCAGAAGCCUAAUUCAAGCAACUAAAGUGUUUUAUGAAGGAACGCCCCACACGUGUCGAAUCCAUGACCUAUUGAGAGAAGUUAUUCUCAUCAAGUCAAGGGAACAAAACAUGGUGACAGUUACUACUGGACAACCAAUGACGUGGCCAUCUGAGAAGGUACGCCGUCUAGCAAUCCAUAGUAGUAGUAACAGUAGCAACAUCCAAUACCACCAACAAAGACAAUUUUAUUCCUUUGAACACCUUCGAUCAUUCAUCACAGUUAGUUCCACCAACCCAUUACUAUCCAAAACUUUCCUAUCUGAAGUUCUAAGGAGUAGCAAGUUGCUAAAGGUUCUAGAUUUGACUAAUGAAGAGAUAGAGGCAACACCAAAUGAGAUUUUCAACUUGUUGCAUCUCACAUAUCUGAGUCUAUAUGGUACAAAAGUGGAAAGAGUCCCGAGAGCUAUUGGAAAGCUUCUACAUUUGGAAUAUCUGAAUUUGGGGUACACUGGAGUUAGGGAAUUACCCGUGGAAAUCCUAAAGCUGCAAAAGCUUCGACAUCUCUUUGUAUUCCAUCCAGUUGAUCCCUCAAAUGAUGAUUAUGGAUUUCAUGGGUUUAAAGGUCCGUCAAAAUUGGGAGGGCUUCUGGCUCUACAAAUAUUAAACACCAUAGAUGCAAGUAGUGGGUCUGUAAUAGUUAAAGAGAUAGGAAAAUUGACCCAAUUAAGAGAGUUAGCUAUUACACAGUUGAGAAGAGAAGAUGGAAAGGAGCUCUGCUCCUCCCUUGUCAACCUCACCAGUCUUCGGGAAUUAAGUGUUGAUUCAGUUG